CUUUGGGAUAACCCUCGGAAACGGGGGCUAAUACCGGAUAUGACCUCCUGUCGCAUGGUGGGGGGUGGAAAGUUUUUCGGCCUGGGAUGGGCUCGCGGCCUAUCAGCUUGUUGGUGGGGUGAUGGCCUACCAAGGCGACGACGGGUAGCCGGCCUGAGAGGGCGACCGGCCACACUGGGACUGAGACACGGCCCAGACUCCUACGGGAGGCAGCAGUGGGGAAUAUUGCACAAUGGGCGGAAGCCUGAUGCAGCGACGCCGCGUGAGGGAUGACGGCCUUCGGGUUGUAAACCUCUUUCAGCAGGGACGAAGCGCAAGUGACGGUACCUGCAGAAGAAGCGCCGGCCAACUACGUGCCAGCAGCCGCGGUAAGACGUAGGGCGCGAGCGUUGUCCGGAUUUAUUGGGCGUAAAGAGCUCGUAGGCGGCUUGUCGCGUCGACCGUGAAAACCCGGGGCUCAACCCCAAGCCUGCGGUUGAUACGGGCAGGCUAGAGUUCGGUAGGGGAGACUGGAAUUCCUGGUGUAGCGGUGAAAUGCGCAGAUAUCAGGAGGAACACCGGUGGCGAAGGCGGGUCUCUGGGCCGAUACUGACGCUGAGGAGCGAAAGCGUGGGGAGCGAACAGGAUUAGAUACCCUGGUAGUCCACGCUGUAAACGUUGGGCGC
rnacentral:rRNA from 1 species